AUUGAACGCUGGCGGCAUGCCUAACGCAUGCAAGUCGAACGCAGUUGCGAACAGGUGAGUAACGCGUAGUUAACUGCCUCAUAGCGGGGGAUAACUAUUGGAAACGAUAGCUAAUACCUCCUACUUUGAGAUUGACCUGCGUUGUAUUAGCUAGUUGGUUAGGUAAAGGCGCACCAAGGCGACGAUACAUAGCCGACCUGAUAGGGUGAUGGGCCACAAUUGGACUGGAGAACGGCCAAGAACCCUACGGGAGGCAGACGGAGGGAAUCUUCGGCAAAGGACGGAAGUCGGACCGAGCAAAGCCGCGUGAGGGAAGAAGGGUUUCGGAUCGUAAAGCUCUGUUGGUAGGGAAGCGGUAACUAACCAGAAAGGGACGGCUAACUACGUGCCAGCAGCCGCGGUAAUUC
rnacentral:rRNA from 1 species